rnacentral:rRNA from 1 species
CGUAAGCGGUGCGUAGGCGGUUUUGUAAGUCAGAGGUGAAUGCCCCGGGCUCAACCUGGGAACUGCCUUUGAUACUGCAAGACUUGAGUGUGGUAGAGGGGGGUGGAAUUCCUGGUGUAGCGGUGAAAUGCGUAGAUAUCAGAAGGAACACCGAUGGCGAAGGCAACUUCCUGGACUGAUACUGACGCUGAUGUGCGAAAGCGUGGGGAGCAAACAGGAUUAGAUACCCUGGUAGUCCACGCCGUAAACGAUGUCAACUAGCUGUUGGGAUUCUUGAGAUCUUAGUGGCGCAGCUAACGCAUUAAGUUGACCCCCGGGGGAGUACGGCCGCAAGGUUAAACCUCGAGG